rnacentral:rRNA from 1 species
GCGCACGGGUGAGUAACGCGUAUACAAUCUACCUCAUACUAGGGGAUAGCCCAGAGAAAUUUGGAUUAAUACCCUAUAGUAUCAUAAAGAGUCAUCUCUUAUUGAUUAAAGGUUACGGUAUGAGAUGAGUAUGCGUUCUAUUAGUUAGUAGGUGAGGUAACGGCUCACCUAGACCACGAUAGAUAGGGGCCCUGAGAGGGGGAUCCCCCACACUGGUACUGAGACACGGACCAGACUCCUACGGGAGGCAGCAGUGAGGAAUAUUGGACAAUGGGCGAAAGCCUGAUCCAGCCAUGCCGCGUGCAGGAUGACGGCCCUAUGGGUUGUAAACUGCUUUUAUACAGGAAGAAACUACUCUACGUGU